rnacentral:rRNA from 1 species
GAUGAACGCUGGCGGCGUGCCUAAUACAUGCAAGUCGAGCGAACAGAUGAGAAGCUUGCUUCUCUGAUGUUAGCGGCGGACGGGUGAGUAACACGUGGGUAACCUACCUAUAAGACUGGGAUAACUCCGGGAAACCGGGGCUAAUACCUGAUAAUAUUUUGAACCGCAUGGUUCAAUAGUGAAAGACGGCUUCGGCUGUCACUUAUAGAUGGACCCGCGCCGUAUUAGCUAGUUGGUAAGGUAAUGGCUUACCAAGGCAACGAUACGUAGCCGACCUGAGAGGGUGAUCGGCCACACUGGAACUGAGACACGGUCCAGACUCCUACGGGAGGCAGCAGUAGGGAAUCUUCCGCAAUGGGCGAAAGCCUGACGGAGCAACGCCGCGUGAGUGAUGAAGGUCUUAGGAUCGUAAAACUCUGUUGUUAGGGAAGAACAAAUUUGUUA